AUGUGAUUAACUUUAUAAAUCAGAGUAGAUUAGAAAUGUAGUUCUUCAAAUAUACACGAGAAAAUUCAUUUUAUUGAAUAAAUAUAUCCACUUUUUAUUUCAUUAUUUAGUUUCAGAUGUUCUUGAGCUGUUUCAAACGCUGUGAGAGCAAAACAAGUGUUUUCAGCUUCUAUCUGUGAAGUUCAUGAACACAUUUCUAUUUAUUUGUAAUAAUUGUUACACUUGACAGUUUCUUCCUCUCAUUACAUUCCUUUGGGGGAUGGAGGCGACAUGCAGACCUUGUCAAACUAAAGACUUUAGAGGUGCUCGAGGUUUCAUCACAUUUUACAGUUCUGAGUGAAUGCAGAGAAGUUGUUGUUACAUUCUAGCAGUUUCUUCAUCAUUACAUCAGACACACAGUCAGUGACAGCAGAAGGUAGCUAGCAGAGACAGACCUAGGAUCAGAUCACACUGACACACUGUGGACAUCAUGGAAGCUUUAAUGUAACUUGUUAGAAAAAUAUUCCUAAUAACACCACGAUGUCAGGAUUAAAAUUAAAUAAAAGAUUCAAUCAAUAUUCUUGCAAGAAGGAGCCGAGUUUAUUCAUACAAUCUUUGAGCUUGAGCUUCCAGGUCAGUCUUCCUUUGUUCUACAAGAUGGAGGUUUACAGUAAACACAGAGGUACUGAUCAACUCAUGUCCCAGACGUGCUAAUUCACUAGACUGAGGACUGUUCUUAGAAAGAGCAGUUCACCUCCUGUCUCCUGCUGUGCUUUACAAUCAGUAUUUCCUGUGUUUUCCUAUCAUAAUCCUCCUGUUUAUACAAAGUAUAACAACAAAAUAAAAUACACCAAUACAUCACAUUAAAAUCAAAAUAUUCUUGAAACAGACGCUGUCUUUAUCCAGCUUCCUUUGUUCAGCUCCUUCAUCACGAUGUCACUUCUUUAGGAUUGUCAGCAUCGGAAUCAUUAUGCUUAUGCAGUUCAGUGUCUUUGAUUUCUUCUUUAAAUAAGGCCCCCAUACCGUCCUGGUAUGGGAGUGUAUCAUCUUCUUCCUCAUUCUUAGAUGACGUCAUCUCCUUUUCAUAUCGUACCCUCCAAUCUGUAUGGAAACUGGCUGAUACUCGUGUACCAUUUGUUUUGUUAUUGCGGAUUCAUUCAAUUUAAUCAUACGGCUUCUAAUUCAUGUUUUAAAACAAUAUCUACAUACAGUAAGUAUUAAUAUAUCUAUUAAUGCUGAAGAUACCAGUAACAUGAUGAAAACCACCAUUUCCCGAACCAUCUUUCCAUAGCAUCACCAAAAUAAUUCUCUAUUCCUGAAUUCUCUGCUAAUUAUUUAUCUAAUGUUGUCGAUCCUUGUAAGGCUCCUUCUCUGCUAGGAGCAUAUCUAAAGCCAUUCUGUUCUGCCAUGCCAUUAAACUAGUGGCUGCUUGUUGUUCAGCUUGUCCCUAAACUGUAUCCCUUGUAUUAAUGAAUAAAUCUCUGUUAAAUACAA